AGCCGUGGGGUAAGCACAGAGCGAACUAUUCUUUCGCCUUUUACUAAAGAAUACCGUGUGCUCUCCUCCUUUAACGGCAUACGCCAAUUUUUGAAGGGUUUCUCCCUAAAGGAGAGGC